AUUGAACGCUGGCGGCAGGCCUAACACAUGCGAGUCGAACGGUAACAGGAAGAAGCUUGCUUCUUUGCUGACGAGUGGCGGACGGGUGAGUAAUGUCUGGGAAACUGCCUGAUGGAGGGGGAUAACUACUGGAAACGGUAGCUAAUACCGCAUAACGUCGCAAGACAAAAGAGGGGGACCUUCGGGCCUCUUGCCAUCGGAUGUGCCCAGAUGGGAUUAGCUAGUAGGUGGGGUAACGGCUCACCUAGGCGACGAUCCCUAGCUGGUCUGAGAGGAUGACCAGCCACACUGGAACUGAGACACGGUCCAGACUCAUACGGGAAGCAGCAGUGGGGAAUAUUGAACAAUGGGCGCAAGCCUGAUGCAGCCAUGCCGCGUGUAUGAAGAAGGCCUUCGGGUUGUAAAGUACUUUCAGCGGGGAGGAAAGGAGUAAAGUUAAUACCUUUGCUCAUUGACGUUACCCGCAGAAGAAGCACCGGCUAACUCCGUG
rnacentral:rRNA from 1 species